rnacentral:rRNA from 1 species
UACGUAGGGUGCUAACGUUGUUCGGAAUUAUUGGGCGUAAAGCGCGUGUAGGUUGCCAAGUAAGUUGAAUGUGAAAGCCCUCGGCUUAACCGAGGAAGUGCAUUCAAAACUGCUCGGCUAGAGGAUGGUAGAGGAAGGUGGAAUUCCUAGUGUAGAGGUGAAAUUCGUAGAUAUUAGGAGGAAUACCUGUGGCGAAGGCGGCCUUCUGGGCCAUUCCUGACACUGAGACGCGAAAGCGUGGGUAGCAAACAGGAUUAGAAACCCCCGUAGUCC